rnacentral:rRNA from 1 species
AUGAACGCUGGCGGCGUGCCUAAUCCCUGCAAGUCGAGCGCACAGACGAGGAGCUUGCUCCUCUGACGUUAGCGGCGGACGGGUGAGUAACACGUGGAUAACCUACCUAUAAGACUGGGAUAACUUCGGGAAACCGGAGCUAAUACCGGAUAAUAUAUUGAACCGCAUGGUUCAAUAGUGAAAGACGGUUUUGCUGUCACUUAUAGAUGGAUCCGCGCCGCAUUAGCUAGUUGGUAAGGUAACGGCUUACCAAGGCGACGAUGCGUAGCCGACCUGAGAGGGUGAUCGGCCACACUGGAACUGAGACACGGUCCAGACUCCUACGGGAGGCAGCAGUAGGGAAUCUUCCGCAAUGGGCGAAAGCCUGACGGAGCAACGCCGCGUGAGUGAUGAAGGUCUUCGGAUCGUAAAACUCUGUUAUUAGGGAAGAACAAAUGUGUAAGUAACUAUGCACGUCUUGACGGUACCUAAUCAGAAAGCCACGGCUAACUACGUG